GUCCCUGUAGCACAAUGGAUAACACAUUGGACUUCUUAUCCAAAGGUCGUGGAUUUGAAUUCCAUCUGGGAUG
rnacentral:tRNA from 1 species